rnacentral:lncRNA from 1 species
GAAGCGUUUGGACCCCUCUGAAAAGCAAGAUGAUUAAGCUGAUAAUUUUCCUCUGAUGGUAGGGCUAUGAGCAGACACACCUAACUUCCAACCUGCUUCCUCUGUGUGCAACAUGGCAUAAUGCUGCACUUUGUUAGUUCUGGGUCAUAAUCACUAGUGCUCCACUCUAAUCUUGUUUAAUUAGUGCUUAAUCUUACAUUAAUUAAAUCAAAAGGGUGACUAAUUUUCACUAUAUAAACUGAACUUUAUAUCUAGCUACCUAAGAGCCUAGGAGCUAACUAGCUAAUCCUCUAUCAGUAUUCUAAUUAAGUAUAUACAACAAGAGACAGCAAAAUGGUAAAGUGUUGCAACAUGCAACAAAAUCUAGCUACCUAGUCUUGUUAUCCUUGUAUUAAUUUAUUAUAUGCUUUAUAUUGUUUUUUAUUUUGUAACAGCUUUAAUUUGAUUGAUGACUCUGUUAAUCAAUCUUCAGGUAGUCAUGAAGACUUUGAUUGUUGUUAUUUUUGCCUCUAUGUUGAUCCUUGGAACUAUUCAUGAAUCCCAUGCACAAAUUCUUCCAGUAAACAAUCGUCGGUUUCUUAGUAGUGGAGGUCCUGAUCGAGUUGUCCCUGGCGGCCCAAAUCCAUGUACUAAAGAUUGUCAUCAUCCUAGUACAUAUAGUCGAAAGACUCCUCCUGGUGAAGUGGAUCUUGCAGAAUAUUACAGCCCACCGGAAUACUAAACUUGCAGGCUCUAUAUAUAUAUAUAUAUAUGCGUGUGUAUAUAUUGUGUGUUUGAUUGGAAAUAAGGGGACCAACAUGCAUGUGGGGCCCAUGGAAGUUUCACCGGGUUUGAAGUAGGAUGAGCUUGUUUAAUUACGUGUCUUGUCUGUGUAUAACAGCAAAAGCUUGUGCUUUAAUUUACCUUAAUUUUUAUGGCCAAUGGAAGUUUAUUACAUGUACUUGUUUGAGUUCAACCAAUAAGCUUACAAGCUGAGAUGUGGGAAGAAAUAGUGUAAAUAAAGUUUGAUUGAUUUAACAGUAUCAUCCACCAUAACAUACUAGGGAGAAUUGCAGCUAAGGUGCCAAACAUUUCAUUUAGUAACAGACUUAAUUCAAAUCUUUCAUUUGUACCAUUGUAAGUACCAAAUCUCUAAAAAAAUCUCAACUCAACUCCAGAUUGACGGUUCUCGUCAUUUUGACUCCAGAAAUUGUCAGUUGACCCCAAAAAAUAAAAAUUUAAUAAUUUGACCUAAUAAGGCAAGGGUUAAAUAGCAACUUUACAAAUUUAAUAUAAAAAAUAACAAAAUAAAAUAAAGGAAAAAUGUAAAGGAUGAUUAUAUUACCAC